GAUGUCAGUCAUUCUCUGCACACCAUCAUCAGCAACCAGAGGAGCCUCUUCAGCCACAGACUGCUCCUUCCCAAGUGCAGGACCAACAGACUGAAAAACUCCUUUGUCCCUCAGGACAACAGACUGUACAACUCCUCACUCAGGGAGAGGAGGAGUAACAAGAAGACAGAGGACGGGAAUGAGAGGAGCAGCAGUAGCCAGUAAACAAGGAAGGAGCAGUAUUUCUG